GAUGAACGCUAGCGGCGUGCCUAACACAUGCAAGUCGAACGUGAGAGGGUACUUGUAUCCUUGAAAGUGGCGGACGGGUGAGUAAGACGUAGGUGACCUGCCUCGAAGUGGGGGAUAACCAUUGGAAACGAUGGCUAAUACCGCAUAAGCUGGUGACGAUGGGAAUGGUUGCCAGGAAAGCUUUAGUGCUUUGAGAGGGGCCUACGGCCGAUUAGCUAGUUGGUGAGGUAAAGGCUCACCAAGGCGAUGAUCGGUAGCUGGUCUGAGAGGACGAUCAGCCACACGGGAACUGAGACACGGUCCCGACUCCUACGGGGGCAGCAGUGAGGAAUAUUCGGCAAUGGGGGCAACCCUGACCGAGCAACGCCGCGUGGAGGAUGACGGUUUUCGGAUUGUAAACUCCUUUUC
rnacentral:rRNA from 1 species